UACGGAGGGGGCUAGCGUUGUUCGGAAUUACUGGGCGUAAAGCGCGCGUAGGCGGCUUUGUAAGUUAGAGGUGAAAGCCUGGAGCUCAACUCCAGAAUUGCCUUUAAGACUGCAUCGCUUGAAUCAUGGAGAGGCGGGUGGAAUUCCGGGUGUAGAGGUGAAAUUCGUAGAUAUUCGGAAGAACACCAGUGGCGAAGGCGGCCCGCUGGACAUGUAUUGACGCUGAGGUGCGAAAGCGUGGGGAGCAAACAGG
rnacentral:rRNA from 1 species